rnacentral:rRNA from 1 species
AUUGAACGCUGGCGGCAGGCCUAACACAUGCAAGUCGAACGGUAGCACAGAGAGCUUGCUCUCGGGUGACGAGUGGCGGACGGGUGAGUAAUGUCUGGGAAACUGCCCGAUGGAGGGGGAUAACUACUGGAAACGGUAGCUAAUACCGCAUAACGUCGCAAGACCAAAGAGGGGGGACCUUCGGGCCGUCUUGCCAUCGGAUGUGCCCACGGUGGGAGUUAGCUUGUAGGUGAGG